rnacentral:misc_RNA from 1 species
CUGAUAUCUUCUGCCUUGACAUAUUCAUUAGAAGCAAACAUCCAAACUGAAUUUGAGCGUAGCUGACUGGCCGAGAAUGCCAGGAAAAAGAAUCUUUUAGUUCCAAUAACAAUUCCUUCUCGAAGAAUAGACAAAAUCCGAUGAUAGAUUUUAGUUCUAUAAGGCUUUGCAAAAAUACCUUGUUCAACACUCAUAGAAACAGCAUUAGGAAAAAGUUUACCCCAAUCCUCCUCCACAAAAGUUACUCUCAAGAAAUCAGAAGCAUGUGAUGCAAAG